rnacentral:rRNA from 1 species
GGACCCGCACAAGUAGUGGAGCAUGUGGUUUAAUUCGAAGAUACGCGCAGAACCUUACCAACACUUGACAUGUUCGUCGCGACUUUAAGAGAUUAAAGUUUUCGGUUCGGCCGGACGAAACACAGGUGCUGCAUGGCUGUCGUCAGCUCGUGUCGUGAGAUGUUGGUUAAGUCCCGCAACGAGCGCAACCCUCACUUUUAGUUGCCAUCAUUAAGUUGGGCACUCUGAAAGAACUGCCAGUGAUAAGCUGGAGGAAGGUGGGGAUGACGUCAAGUCCUCAUGGCCCUUACGUGUUGGGCUACACACGUGCUACAAUGGCAGUGACAAUGGGUUAAUCCCAAAAAGCUGUCU